GCAAAACAAGCAAUGGACUUUUUUUUUUUUUUUUUUUUUUUGUCACUUUCCAAUCUGGAUUGAUUAGGACUGAAAGUUCUGCGGUGUGCCAACCCAAGUGAAGAAUAAUUCCAGAAAUUUAACACAGUCUGUUCAGAAUUAGAAUGAAAAACACCUCAGCAAUAACUGGUGAAACUAAAAGAGUUGUUGGAGCUGCCUACUAUAGAAUUGAAAGUAUUAUUUCCAGUUCUCGUUGGUAUGGGGAUCAAACACAUUUCAUCUCUUUACCAAUAAACAGCAAAAAUAUCCAAGAAUAUUUUAUAAAGUUUCGAGAGACUAUUCUAUCAACUUGUCAAAAAGUGAUAGAUUAUUUAGGGUAGCUAUGUUAUGUUAUUGGAGCACGAAAGAGCAGUCUGCUUCAGGAAAGUUUUUAUGGAAACUGUUGUAAAUUGUCAGUUUAAGUCUGUCUUCAGCUGUUAAACCAUAUAUCCACAGCUAAACCAGUAUCAUCUUUAAAACUGUUCAAGCUAAGAAAAGAUGACUGCAGCAUACAGUGUGAAAACAAGUUAGUUCACCGAAUUUUUAAUUUAACCUUCUGAGUGGCAUGAUUGGGUUUAAGGGGUCAAGAGGAUCUUCCAACAUAAGCAGCAUGGGUGCUUUUAAGUGGUCUCUGCCAAGUUACUUGAAAAGAGGACUAGCAGUCAUGCAGAUAUCUGACUGCCUUAUGAUUAGUAGUAAUCCUGUAGCUGUUCUAAAUGAGGGCUCUCAGCAGGCAGUCUAAGAAGGUUGAUUUAUUUUGUUGUAUAACUACUGUAUUAUAAGAGUGGCCAACUUUUGUAUGUAUAAUGACUGACCUUUUUCUUCAAAAAUGUAUUGCAAUCUAUCUUUUAAAAUCUUGACUUUUAACACAUUCAGACUUAUCUCUUAUGUACUAAUAAGUGACUUUGUUGAAGGGGUAUUAAACUGUGAUAUUUUAUUAAGUAUAUGCAUUAAUUGAAAAGUAGCAAAAUUUUUUUAUUUUAUUUUAUUGUCUUAUUAUAAAUGGGAAGUUUGCUUCUACAUGUCUUCAGCCAAGUGUUUAUAAUUUGGUGUAUCUAUAAGCACAAUAAUUACCAAUAUUUGUUCUUUAAAAAAAUAAAAAUUGCUUCUGUAGGUUGAUUACUAUUACUGUUAAAUUUUUUAGAUUUUACUUUUACUUUUCAUCAGAAAGAUUUUGGGUUUUCUUACCUACUGAAUAUACCAAAAGAGGUGUUACUUUAUGUGACUGUAAGCAGCAAAACGAGUUUGCUUGCCUCAAAACCUUUAAAAAAAAAAAAUCGGGUGAAAAGAUCUGAGUUUUUAUCAUGUAUCAGUAUCUUGUUUUAUGUAUUUAAGCGGUGUACUGAUAUCAAAUUGUGCAAAAUAUAUUUGUCACUUAACAAAGAUUGACUAUUUCCAUCUCCUUUUGAAAUAUGCAUAAUUUCUAUAUGAAAAACUGUUAGCCUAGGGUUGAAUUUUGUAUAAACUGCUAUAAUAGUAUUUUAACUUAAACAGCAAAUAAAGACAUAUUCAUAUGAAAUUAUGCUGGGUUUAUGUACCUUCUUUUCUAGUCUAAAAUCAUUUUUUAAUAAUUAGAUGAUUUUUAAUAAAACUGAAUUGUUACAAUUGUAGUAAAAUUUCAUAAUUAACAAAAUUGUGAAUAAUAUAAUUUUAUUUAAUUAAUAAUAAUAAUAAAUUAUUUUUCAUUUCUUUUUCUGAUUGUUAUGGCUCCCAUCUGUAAACAAAUUUUCAUGCGAAAAAAUAAUUGAUAAUGAUGUUGUAUGCAAUUUACCACUUUUAGUCAUUUACUUUUUAGGUGGCACCACCAAAAUUGGUUGUAUUAAUAAUUUCUUUUAGAAUUUUCUGCAGUCUGUUAGUAUUAGUACCAACUGUAGGAUUGACAAAGUUAUUGUCCAUCCUUCAGACAGUAUUAAUGGUCAAACAGUUGAAUCAUGCUUGGGAAUUUUGAAGCUAAAGAUUCUGCAGAACAUGUGAAGUACCACAUCCAAAUGCUCCCUUGUUUUCUCGUAGAAGCAUGAGGGAGAUCCAUUAGUAAGAGUGAUGAUUAUUUUUUGGCCAUGUUGCACAAUAUUUAUAAUGUAAAUGGCUUGAUGCCUCAUAAAAAUUGUCAUUUAAAGGGCCAGUCCUGCUUUUGUUUUG